AUCUAUGAUCAUGCCACCCUGAACAAGCCCGAUGUCCGGUCUGAGAAGCUAAGCAGGGUUGGUCCUGGUUAGUACUUGGAUGGGAGACCACCUAGGAUGACGAGGUGUUAUAGACA
rnacentral:rRNA from 1 species